ACCAUUACACAUAUAUAUGCAUCAACGAGAAUUCAUACUCCACUUUGACAUGGAAGCGACCUAGUCGCUUCGGUAAGCACAACCCACCUCGUAACGCUCUCCGAUUGCUUAUAGUCACUUGCAAUCGGGCUCCCACGGCACCCGCCGCCCGGUUCGACUCGAACUCGCACUCGACCACCAAACGGCCACCAAUCCACAAUCCGGAAAUUAAAUGUCUAUAACUUAAUGCCACGAUGCUCCGGAUCCAUUCCC
rnacentral:lncRNA from 1 species